rnacentral:rRNA from 1 species
AGCAGCCGCGGUAAUUCCAGCUCCAAUAGCGUAUAUUAAAGUUGUUGCAGUUAAAAAGCUCGUAGUUGAAUUUCGGAAUCGACGGAUUGGUCGCGCCUUCGGUGUGUACUGGUCUUGCCGGUUUCUCCCUUCCGACGAACCACGAUGUCAUUAAUUUGGUGUCGUGGGGAAUCAGGACUGUUACUUUGAAAAAUUAGAGUGUUUAAAGCAGGCAUUAGCUUGAAUACAUUAGCAUGGAAUAAUGAAAUAGGACGUUUGAUCUUAUUUUGUUGGUUUCUAGGAUCGACGUAAUGAUUAAUAGGGAUAGUUGGGGGCAUUAGUAUUCAAUUGUCAGAGGUGAAAUUCUUGGAUUUAUUGAAGACUAACUACUGCGAAAGCAUUUGCCAAGGAUGUUUUCAUUAAUCAAGAACGAAAGUUAGGGGAUCGAAGACGAUCAGAUACCGUCGUAGUCUUAACCAUAAACUAUGCCGACUAGGGAUCGGAUGAUGUUUAAUUUUUUAAUGACUCA